GAGAAACUAGAAGGGCUUUAGAAAACAAUCCUUGCCUGAGUCCCCAAACCAUGGAGAAGCUCACUCAAGAGAAGGGCUCAAGGGAACAUGGAGAUUCCUAAAAAUGACCUGGUACUGAACAAUGUGAAGAAAAGAAAAGACGAAACAUUUAGAAAAUCAUGUCCCACGAAAACUAAAGAGGAAAGAUAAAAAGACCAAAAUAGGAUUGCCAGACAAACGAAAACAGUCUAAGCAACCUUGUAAUUCAUCUCAUUUUCUUGACUCUUCCUUUCCUCAAGUUCCAAGAGUCUACGUAACAAGAACCCUGAUAAAGGAUAGUUCUGCUCAAGGUAACAGUUGAUAUUCAAAAGGAAAACAAAAGUCACAUGCUACCUCCCUUACUUUCUUGAGAUGCCCAUGGAGUUUAUCUUCACCAAGAGAUCUACAAGUGGAGAUUUUCAUCCUUGGGAGCCCUGGGUCUUUGUGAGCUAUCACUGGCUCAGAGUUUUAGAGCCUAAAGAAAAUUAAACAAGGCCUAAAACAUUGGAUUAAGUGUCCUGCAGCAAUACUGCCUAUGCUCCUGGGAAUGCAUACAGCCGGAGGCACUUAGCAGUGAUCUCACUACAGGGCUACGUAACCAUCCCCGUGUCAGUCUUUGCCCAUAGGCCAGUGGGUAUAUGCAGCAGCACAUGUACACCACAUGCAGCUCAGAAGAUUCUAGAAGGAAGUGGUAAGUAGAGGGAAAGGGGUUUCAGAUGGUGGUGCCUGUAAUAUACCAGAUACUGUCAAAGUGCUUUACACACAGUAACUUCAUCUACACUUCACAACUCUACAGUUUAAAUGCUACUUUUAUUCCCAUUUCAUGGAUGAGGAAACUGAAGCUCCAGAACAUGAAGGAAGUUGUUGAGAGUCUCACAGCAAUAAGGAAGUAUGGUAAGAAUCAAACCCAGGCAGCGUGCAUUCAGUCUGUCCUCUUGAACACUUCAUUAUACUGUCUCUGACCAAUGCAAGUGGGGGAGGGGGGUGGCAGAAAAAAUUUUAAAUAUCAUUGCUAAAAGCCAAGGUGCCAGCCCCUGUCCCUCAAAAUACUUGGCAUGGAUUAUUUUUAAAAUGAAAUCUUUCAUGAAAACGUUUUGAUAAUAGCCGUCCAGCACAAUUAUAAAGAGAGCUUUCUUUGUACUCUUAAGAGCCUCUGAGCUGCAGACUGACUACAGUUAUGAUUAUUGUAAAUUUAACCACUUGCUCCAUCUCUCACAAGAAAAGCUUGUGGUUUGGAACUAGCCACGUUCUCGCGAUCAUCAAGUACGAAGCGACAACCAAGAAUGUGGAUUCUGAUCAUCUCUCCAGGCGAUCAGAGUCCCUGCCUGCGAGGAUCACAGCCUUGGCUAAUGGUUCUGAGCUUUGUGCUUUCCGCUGGUGAUGGAUCAUCUGCCUAGUCUGACAUCCUCCUUAAUGGCUCUUCCUCCUCACAAUGUGCUCGGGCUCAUCUAGGCUUUUGCUUAUCCCAUAUGUGGUUUCCGGUUUUUCCUUUGUCUUCUUUUUUCCUCCCCUUUGGAAUAACUUUAAGUGGCUUUAGAUAAUAGUGCUCUGCUACAUCUUCUUUCAACGCAUACAUCCUCUUCAGCUGCCUGCCUGCCUGCCAUCCAUCCAUCCAUCCAUCCAUCCAUCCAUCCAUCCAUCCAUCCAUCACCUCUCUGCUCACUUUCCUUCUAGAAUAGCUUAUUUGAAUUUCCCACAGAUGAUACCAGAACGACCUUCUCUCCCCCAUUAUUGAGGAAUGGGUAAUGAGAAUACAUUUUAGAUUUCACCAAUUCUCUGUAGCUUCUCGUAUCUUUUCUUCUUUGCUAAUUUUUCUCUUUUCUAUUCUAUUUAUAUAGAGUGAUAUGCUGAAGAUGGUUCCAAAUGGUUGGUACAUCUUUAUAUAGAACAGGAUUUUUAAAAGAAAUAUCAGCCACCCCAAAGACGGAAUCUAUUACAGUAUUCUUUCAGGAGCAAGAUGAUGAAGAAGUUGGCAGCUGGUGCCAGGCAGCUCUUGCAUCCAGAUUCAGAGUCUGGGUUGAUUCAGAUCAGUUCCUUACUUCCGUGCUAACUGGCUACAUGUCCUGUGCUUUGUGGUCUCGCUGCAUCAUUAAAACCCAAUGAUUUGUCCUCAUGGACCACUCUGAACCUGGCCCAUAAAUUGAGCACAUUUUCCUCCGCCUCCUAUGAGUCAUCACUGAUGCUCUCAAGCACAGAGCGGGUCCCUGGGGCAGCCUCACUCGAGCCGUCCUCAGCGCAUUACUAUGGAGUCGGCAAUACAUCUCUGUCUUGUCACUCGCCUUAGGGAAUCAGAGAAUCUUACUUGCAAGCAGAGAGACUGCGAAGUGGAGGCCAAUUUGCAUUUAGAGUCAAUUUCCAGAGACUGACACACUGAAUCUUUCUGCAAAUGCUUUUCUUAAACUGUACUGCUCUGCAGUGCAGAGCCUCCUUGACAGUUCUAUAGCCCGUGUUUCCUUGCUUUAUGGCAAUUUACAUCACACACAAGCCCUGAGUACUGUCAACUGACAUAACACACUAAAACAAAGAGUAAAUAAACAUGGAAAUAGA